AUUGAACGCUGGCGGCAUGCCUAACACAUGCAAGUCGAACGGAAACGAUGCUAGCUUGCUAGCAGGCGUCGAGUGGCGGACGGGUGAGUAAUGCAUAGGAAUCUACCUAAUAGUGGGGGACAACCUGGUGAAAACCAGGCUAAUACCGCAUAAUCCCUACGGGGCAAAGCAGGGGACCUUCGGGCCUUGCGCUAAUAGAUGAGCCUAUGUCGGAUUAGCUAGUUGGUGAGGUAAUGGCUCACCAAGGCGACGAUCCGUAGCUGGUUUGAGAGAAUGAUCAGCCACACUGGGACUGAGACACGGCCCAG
rnacentral:rRNA from 1 species